GUGACGCCGCGCAGGGAACCUCUGAACCCGCUUCCCGAGCCACUCGGCGCUUAUUCUCUUCUGCGUACCUGCGAUAUUGAAAAGCUCCAGAAAGCAGCAAUCAGGAGAGGCCUCUGCACUGCGGCUGUAUGUCACUGUGUAGGACCACUUGAGACUGGCUGGUUUUUCCAGCCUCCUGCCAAUGCUAUGGAGCAGCAAUACCCCGGGAAGCCUAAAGAGAGUGACAACAAGAAACGCGUUUUUGCAAAGAUACAGAAUUAUUUUAUGACAAAAGCAACACUUGGAGUAACAAUCUGGAAAAGAAGAGACACUUUUUUUCCCCUCCUUUGUCACUCUCAUUAAGGUUUUAAGAGACUUUCUGUGCUGUGUCUCACUGUUGGAAUACCUGUCUCCAAACAGCUUUCUGUAGUGGAAAAUCCAAUUUAAUCUCCAACAAUUUUAUCAGUUCUGCACUACUUUUCUUCUCUUAUUGGAAAAUAAAAUAAA